rnacentral:rRNA from 1 species
CCUACGGGUCGCAACAGUGGGGAAUAUUGGACAAUGGGCGAAAGCCUGAUCCAGCCAUGCCGCGUGUGUGAAGAAGGCCUUCGGGUUGUAAAGCACUUUCAGUGGGGAAGAAAGCCUUGGGGCUAAUACCCUCGAGGAAGGACAUCACCCACAGAAGAAGCACCGGCUAACUCCGUGCCAGCAGCCGCGGUAAUACGGAGGGUGCGAGCGUUAAUCGGAAUUACUGGGCGUAAAGCGCGCGUAGGCGGUCUGAUAAGCCGGUUGUGAAAGCCCCGGGCUCAACCUGGGAACGGCAUCCGGAACUGUCAGGCUAGAGUGCAGGAGAGGAAGGUAGAAUUCCCGGUGUAGCGGUGAAAUGCGUAGAGAUCGGGAGGAAUACCAGUGGCGAAGGCGGCCUUCUGGACUGACACUGACGCUGAGGUGCGAAAGCGUGGGUAGCAAACAGGAUUAGAUACCCCUGUAGUC